AGUGUUUUGUUUUUUUUAUUUGCACAUUUCAAGUGAAUUUUGUCUAACCCAGGAAUGUCUAUAUUAAUGAAAACUAGGAAUGUCUGGUACAAGUAAGACAUGAAACUAGCCAGUUCAUGUACAGUACAAAGUAAAACAUGAAUUUAGCCAGCUUAUGUACAGUACAAAGUAAGACAUGAAUCUAUCUAGUUCCUGUACAGUACAAAGUAAGACAUGAAUCUAU